GGAGGUGUGGCUCAGUUGGCAGAGUGCUUGCCUAGCAUGCCUUAAGUCCUUAGUUUGAAACUCAGCACUUCCU
rnacentral:tRNA from 1 species